GGAACCUGAGUGUAUGAGACCCACCACCCCUCCAGCCGUGCUUCAUCCAUUGGCCAUUAUAGUUCCAGAGGAGUCACUUUUCCUGCUUUAAAAAUUAGGCAUUUACUGAAGACUAUCGUCUCUAGUCCUCUCGGAAGAGCUGAUGAGGUCUUGGUAAAGAAGGAUCAGCUUUGACCGCUUCUCCAUCCCCCGCCCAGUGCCUGGUACCAUCUGAAUCAGC
rnacentral:lncRNA from 1 species